GCCUGUUCGAGCGUCAUUUAAAAACAUCAAGCACAGCUUGGUCUUGGGUGGAGUCUCUGGACCCGCCUGUAACCGGUUGGCGGCACCGCCCGGCUUUAAGCGUAGCAAGUUUUACCCUCGCUUCGGAGCCCGUGCAGGACCGGCCCUAGGUACCUCUAAAGUUUGACCUCGGAUCAGGUAGGGAUACCCGCUGAACUUAA
rnacentral:misc_RNA from 1 species